GCACCUAGGGUCGCCCACUUGCACCUGCCGCUGCCGACAUCAGUGCCAACUGCUCCACCGCUCAACCACUCCUACAAACACGCAAGAAACAAUGCAAAACAGUAGAAAAAAUAGAUAAAAUACAUUGUAGAUUGGCUAUAAAGAGCCCAAAAACAGAUUGUAAAAGGGGGAAGUUUUUUUAGAGAAAUAAAAAGCAAAGAUCAAACAUCAAUAAAAAAAAACGCAAGCAACUAAAGGGAUUUGAAAAAACGAAAACGCAAAGGUUUUAUUUAUUUAUUUUCAAACUCUUUUUUUAUACGUUUUUUUAUAUAUAUACACAUAAAUAUAUAGCAAAAAAAAGAAAAAAGUUACCUUUUCGAAUUUUCCGGCAACCGUGGACGGUAGUGCCGUCACUGGAAACCGGCAGCCGCCACGGUGGUCCGGCGCCAGAGCCUUCGCCGGACCUUGGGCUCCGACCAGAGGGAGAGGGGAGAGCUCUCAGC
rnacentral:lncRNA from 1 species